rnacentral:lncRNA from 1 species
AUUUAAAGAUAAAAUUUCUUUGUAGGUAGAAGAAGCUUUAUCAGCAAUGGACAACUUAGAGUCAUCAGAGGUAUCAGGAUUAUAAUUUAGCACGCCAGACGCUCGUUUCGUCUACAUAAGACUCACCAGUGAAUCCCAUACGAAAACAUUCAUAAAGCCAACCAAGAACAAAGUUAAUGAACAUUGAGGAUCCGAAAUUCCAAACAGUUGUGCCAAAUACGGCCAAGGCAACCUAGAAGUUAAGAUUGACAAUUAAUUGAGAAUAAAAAAAUGAUAUAGAGAUCAAGAUAAAUCAGAGAGGAAAAUAUUAAAUCAUAGUUACAGGGGUUUUUUUUAUAAAUAGUAGCCUCACUAAUCAUAAUGAAAAAGACAGUUUAUCACAAACAUUACUACCAAUCGAUCUUGACCCAGUCGUGGCUAUAUAUACCUGUUUUGCUAUCAACGCUACUGAUAUUGGGAUUGUCUAUA